CACACACACACAACACUAAGAACUAGAAUUUUCAAAAGGCCUCAGUUGUUUUUAGACCCAUGUUAAUUAUCUGUUUUACUCAGUGACUCACAAUUCUAAAAUACAGUUAUCGGCACUGUCGAAAGCCGAGGCAAUUACUAUUUUCAAUCACCACAGCAAACUGAGUUUACCUUCUACAGCAACAAAGCAAGGGCAUGCAGAAGGAGUUAGUUUAUUACCAAGGAACUGCACACACAGGGCCAGAGGAUGAUGUGUAGGAAGAAGUAUGCUUUAAGUACACAAAGUAGUUCCAGUUGAAUGAAAAGAAGCAUCCUUUUAAUCACAAGCUUUAUAAGACAGGAUUGAGUCUUUUGAGGAAGGCCUCCUCUCCCUCUUCCUGAACUAGGAAAUAUGCUCUAUCAGUACUUUCUCUGGGUUAAAAUUUGUACAUUCCCUGAAUUUGGGAGAAGCCAUGCAUUAUUUUGCAUAGGACAACACAGCCAACUUUCUGACUUCUGUUCCCAUUGCUCUCCCAAGAGUCCUCUAGGCCUCCCAAGAGUCUCUGCUAAGGUGUGAGCCAAAAUCUGCUCCCCAGAAUGAGAAAUAGCAGCUUCCAUUAUUACCUCGUCAGCCGCCCCUCCUUUCCACUCAUCUCAAAUCUCAAAGCUGUACCACAGAAUUAAAAACAUAGCUUGAGGCACUGAAUGGAGAUUUAUGAGGAAGCACAGAUAUUAACUCUUACUCUAAACGCAGGGCGUGUGCUUGUAAGUACUGGUGAGCAAACACUGGGAGGCCACAGGAGGGGUGGGGGCAGGACAGAGCAGCUCAGAACAGCACAGCUUAUUUUCUUCCUGUCUCCUUUCUCCUACCUCCCAGCUUUCAUUGUUAAAAAGCUGAUCUUCUAGACCCACUGAAAUGUUAGUCCCUUGCUUAUUUAAUCUGGACAAAAGCAGGGGCCGAGUUGGCAUUGUGGUGGGUAUUCAAGUCUCCCUUGUUCAUUGAAUGACCUCAGAUGAAAUAUUUUCCAUGACAAGAACCCAAAAGACGCUGGCACCGAGUCAGACAAUGAGAUCUACAGAAUGUGUUUACAUUCUCUGGUGUCUCUAGGCUGUUCCAAGCCCAUAGGCAGGUGCUGCCUUUAUCUACUCUCUUUGCUCACCUGGCUCCCUCCCAGAAGUUUCCAGGGCCUUGGGCUCUGUGAGAUUAACCGUUUACUGGCAUGGGCAACCAAGAAACUCUGUAGGUUAUUAAAGGAGGGAAAAGUAAGUGACAAAGUCAGAAGCACUGCAGACUUCAUAAGCAGAGUCUUGGAGACUGUGUGGUUCCAUGCAGAACUUUCCAGAACCCUAGGACUCUGACAGAUGGCUAUCUUACUUGAUGAGUUGACCAAGUAACUUCUCUCCAGGUGUUUAUCUAUAACACCAUGGAGAUGGUGGAAAAUUACCUCUCAGGGUUUUGUUCUCUGUUUCCUUCCUUAAAAGGACCUGUGCUGGAAGUCCAAAUUUUGUAUUGUAUCUGCUAAACAAGAUGUCAAACAAAAAUGGACACUUAAUGAACACCAAAAGGCCUCUGGCAGCUGCUGAGACCUGACCUGGAGUUGGUCUUUAACUGCAGGCAUACAGACCUCAAGUUGGGGUACUACUGAACAAACUUUUGGAGAGAAGCAGGCCGUAAGAACUCUAGAAGUCUACAGAAGUUGUGAUGAGAAGUUAGGAGUGGCGAUGAGCAAGUCAAUGAAUUGUCUAAUGAAGCCUAAUGGAAGCGUCAGUGGGGAGUGGUUUAAUUAACUGAGGAAACUUGUCUCUGGCUGCCAAACUCAAGACUGUAGAAUGAAGAGGCAUUGUGUUCACAGAGGUGAGUGGGAAACACCACCAAGCCAGAUGUCCUCCUUGGUCCUCAGCCAUGAGUGGGGCCGUGCUCCUCCGUCUGUCAGCCUCCUGCACGUCAUCAAGAAGAUAAGGGUGAAGGAGGCAGGCAUCAAAGUUUGUGUGGCCGCAGUGGUGAUGGAGACAGCCAGAAGUGAAAGACUAGCCAUUAAAAGAGAGACUGAAAGUAAAUGGUGUAGAAUCCACACAGGGCAAUGAGAAGAACAGGGACCAGAGCUGUCUGGCAUCAGGCUGCAUGCCCUUUGGAGAGUGGCGGGAUGCCUAGGAGAGUGCAGACUUCAGUGCUCAGCCCACAGAUCAGAAGUCCAAUCUCUCCAUGUACUUCCUCAUGGAUGAAGUUCCCACAGCCAAGACCAAAUUUACUCUUCUGACUUUGGGAGAAUUAGAAUGGUGCAAAGCAACAGAACGGAAAGAGAGCUGGCUCCUCUCUCCAGUCAUUUAUCUCCAGUCUUAAUGUCGUUUCCUCACUGGGGCAGUAGUCUAUGCAGAAGAAGGUUCUAGCAAUGAUCUACAGCUCCACAGGUUUUUCACGGCAGAUGUAUGCGGUGACCAGUUGUCUUCAUCAUCCUUCUCCGAACAUAAACUUCACCUUAAACUUCAUGCCUGUACUCCAUGGACUUCCAUCUGGUGAGAAAGGUACUGACGGAUUUUCCAGGUAGCUGCAUCCUUUUUCCUUCUCUUCACAUCCCGCAUAGUACAAUCCAAAGACAGUGUAAAGUUUUGUACAAAAGCUACUGAAUGUCCCAGUAUGGCUUACAUUUAUAGAAUAAACCAACCAAAAUGUUGGGGUCGGGAAACUCAGGGGCUUAAAGACCAAUUGAAACAAGUUAUCUUGUCCUGUAACAUGUUUCUACAAGCAACAGGGGACAAGGAAAGUCUUUUACUGGGGAAAGAAAGAUGAAUUUGACCAUGACUUUGAAUUCUGAAGAUUCAGUGGCAGAAUUUGACAGGCAGGGUAGAUUUUUAAAGAGUAUAAACUGAGGAAGACCAAGAAGCAACUUCUGCAUGGAGAGGGUGAGGACCUGAAUUGGGAAAGUGACAGUAACAUAGGGACAGACUUCAGAGUCAAGACAACAGGCUCUUAAAUGUUGGCUGGGACAUUUAAAAACCACACCAUGGGGGGCUGGGGAUUUA
rnacentral:sRNA from 1 species